rnacentral:rRNA from 1 species
UGGUGGAGUGAUUUGUCUGGUUAAUUCCGUUAACGAACGAGACCUCGACCUGCUAAAUAGUUCGGCAAACACUUCGGUGUUUGUAUUCCGUGACUUCUUAGAGGGACUAUCGGUGUGUAGCCGAUGGAAGUUCGAGGCAAUAACA